GAAAUGCGAUAAGUAAUGUGAAUUGCAGAAUUCAGUGAAUCAUCGAAUCUUUGAACGCACCUUGCGCUCCUUGGUAUUCCGAGGAGCAUGCCUGUUUGAGUGUCAUGAAAUUCUCAACUGCCUUUUAGCAUUUAUGUUAAGGUGAAGUUGGAGUUGGAGGAUAACUGCUGGCGCAACUUAGGUUGCUUGUUAGCUCCUCUUAAAUGGAUAAGCUUUUCUGAUAGAUUAUAGCUCAGUAAUAUUAAUGUGAUAAUGAUCUACAUUAUAUGUGAAAGCUAUAAGUAGAGUUUAUGGAGAAGCUCUCUAUAGAAAGGGUAUAAUAACUUGACAAAUCUGACCUCAAAUCAGGUAGGACUACCCGCUGAACUUAAGCAUAUCAAUAAGCGGAGGAAAAGAAACU
rnacentral:rRNA from 1 species